AUGGAGUCCAUCUUUCACGAGAAACAAGAAGGCUCGCUGUGCGCGCAGCACUGCCUGAACAACCUGCUGCAGGGGGAGUACUUCAGCCCCGUGGAGCUGUCCUCCAUCACACACCAGCUGGACGAGGAGGAGCAGAUGAGGAUGGCGGAGCGGGGUGUAACCAGCAAAGAUUACCGGACGUUUCUGCAGCAGCCUUCUGGAAAUAUGGAUGACAGUGGCUUUUUCUCUAUUCAGGUGAUAAGCAAUGCCUUGAAAGUUUGGGGCUUAGAACUCAUUCUCUUCAACAGUCCAGAGUAUCAGAGGCUCAGGAUCAACCCUAUAAAUGAAAGAUCAUUUAUAUGCAAUUAUAAAGAGCACUGGUUUACAGUUAGAAAAUUAGGAAAACAGUGGUUUAACUUGAAUUCUCUCUUGACGGGUCCCGAAUUAAUAUCAGAUACAUACCUUGCACUAUUCCUGGUGCAAUUACAGCAGGAAGGCUACUCCAUAUUUGUUGUUAAGGGCGACCUACCCGACUGUGAGGCCAACCAGCUCCUGCAGAUGGUCAGGGUCCAGCAGAUGCAGAGGCCAAAGCUCAUUGGAGAGGAACUGGCACAGCUGAAAGAGCAGAGAGUCCAUAAGACAGACCUGGAACGCAUCUUUGGAGCAAAUGAAGGCUCGGGCGUGGCAGACCAAGAUGAGGAGGACUUGCAGAGGGCUUUGGCACUGAGUCGCCAAGAAAUGGACAUGGAAGAUGAGAAAGGAAGCGGAUCUCCACAGGGCCAUUCAGCUGAGUAUGCAAGUUAGUUCCAGGAAUAUAUCUCCAGAUGUUCCACAGACGUCAGGUACAAAUCUUACUUCACAAGAGCUGCGGAAGAGAAGAGAAGCCUACUUUAAAAAGCAGCAA